GACGGGCCCGCACAAGCAGCGGAGCGUGUGGUUUAAUUCGAUGCUACACGAAGAACCUUACUAGGGUUUGACAUACAAGUAGUAGGGAAAGGAAACUGGACCGACCUUCGGGGAGCUUGUACAGGUGCUGCAUGGCUGUCGUCAGCUCGUGUCGUGAGAUGUUGGGUUAAGUCCCGCAACGAGCGCAACCCUUAUCAUUAGUUGCUACGCAAGGGCACUCUAAUGAGACUGCCGGUGACAAACCGGAGGAAGGUGGGGAUGACGUCAAGUCCUCAUGGCCCUUAUGGGUAGGGCUUCACACGUCAUACAAUGGUCGGUACAGAGGGUUGCCAAGCCGCGAGGUGGAGCCAAUCCCAGAAAGCCGAUCGUAGUCCGGAUUGUUCUCUGCAACUCGAGAGCAUGAAGUCGGAAUCGCUAGUAAUCGCGGAUCAGCAUGUCGCGGUGAAUACGUUCCCGGGUCUU
rnacentral:rRNA from 1 species